AUGGCUCAGGACGAACGCUGGCGGCGUGCUUAACACAUGCAAGUCGAACGGAAAGGCCCUUCGGGGUGCUCGAGUGGCGAACGGGUGAGUAACACGUGGGUGAUCUGCCCUGCACUUUGGGAUAAGCCUGGGAAACUGGGUCUAAUACCGAAUACACCCUGCUGGUUGCAUGACCUGGUGGGGGAAAGCUUUUGCGGUGUGGGAUGGGCCCGCGGCCUAUCAGCUUGUUGGUGGGGUGAUGGCCUACCAAGGCGACGACGGGUAGCCGGCCUGAGAGGGUGACCGGCCACACUGGGACUGAGAUACGGCCCAGACUCCUACGGGAGGCAGCAGUGGGGAAUAUUGCACAAUGGGCGCAAGCCUGAUGCAGCGACGCCGCGUGGGGGAUGACGGCCUUCGGGUUGUAAACUUCUUUCAGUAGGGACGAAGCGCAAGUGACGGUACCUACAGAAGAAGGACCGGCCAACUACGUGCCAGCAGCAGC
rnacentral:rRNA from 1 species